GAAAUGCGAUAAGUAAUGUGAAUUGCAGAAUUCAGUGAAUCAUCGAAUCUUUGAACGCACAUUGCGCCCGCCAGUAUUCUGGCGGGCAUGCCUGUUCGAGCGUCAUUUCAACCAUCAAGCCCCCGGCUUGUGUUGGGGACCUGCGGCUGCCCGCAGGCCCUGAAAACCAGUGGCGGGCUCGCUGUCACACCGAGCGUAGUAGCAUACAUCUCGCUCAGGGCGUGCUGCGGGUUCCGGCCGUUAAAAGCCUUUUUUACCCAAGGUUGACCUCGGAUCAGGCAGGAAGACCCGCUGAACUUAAGC
rnacentral:misc_RNA from 1 species